rnacentral:lncRNA from 1 species
CCAAGACCGGAGCUGGGAGGGGCCUCGCGGUCGGAGCCUUGGACCGCAGCCCCACGCCUAUUGUGAGCUCCCCAUCUGAGGAUCUCGGGGUUUCCUUGUCCCUGGGCCUCAGAACCCACUGGGGAGCGGCCUGUUUAUGGCAAAUGAUGCCUGUUUGCUUUGAUUUCUAGUUCAGACCCUGGGGCCACUACUGUGUCCCCAUAAAUUAAAGGCUGCGUAUAUUUGAGGGAAUUAAGCAAGACUGUGAAGGCCUGGGAACGCCGGGGCCUUCGGAGAGGGCAGGCAUGGCGUGUAUCAUGUCCACAUCAAGGCCGGUGUCUCUGGACUUGGGGACCGGGGUGACACCGUGUCUGCUCUAGACCCACAUACUGGGUGUGCAGACUGAGACCUACCUGCCCAAGCUUGGAGGCUGGCUGCAGACCUGGUCUCCCGCCCCUCCCGCCCUGCUGCCUGCUCCGCACUGGGGAUGGCGAGUCCUGCUUCAUGGGCUUACCAGCGGAGUUAAGAUUAAGAAACUGAGGCUAUCUUGGAGUCCAUGAAGGCACCAGUUGCUGUGGCCCUUGGAGCCUGGUCUGAAACCAAAGUCCCCGAAGAAAGCAAG